rnacentral:rRNA from 1 species
CUGGCGGCCUUAGCGCGGUGGUCCCACCUGACCCCAUGCCGAACUCAGAAGUGAAACGCCGUAGCGCCGAUGGUAGUGUGGGGUCUCCCCAUGCGAGAGUAGGGAACUGCCAGGCAUCAAAUUAAGCGAAAGGCCAUCCGUCAGGAUGGCCUUUUUGCGUUGGUGAAAAAAAUGCCUGAUGCGACGCUGCGCGUCUUAUACUCCCACAUAUGCCAGAUUCAGCAACGGAUACGGUUUCCCCAACUUGCCUACUUCCAUACGUGUCCUCCUUACCAGAAAUUUAUCCUUAAGCUCCUCAAUAACCAUUUUCCUGCUAACUAAAUUCAUGGUUAAGGUUGCAUAAUGAUACGUAACAAAUGUAUAACAUUUUCUUUGCCAAAAGAAAUAAAC